UGGCACAAAUGAGCUGCCCAGGAAACAUAACCUUGUUAUAUCUAAGCUGGAGACAAACCUGGGGCAAUGAUGUCGGAACUAUCACACAGAAACACGAGACUUUACAGCUUGCAGAGUCCUUUGGAAAGUACAACGUUGUUGAAAGACGGAAGCGCUUUGUUCAUCUUUUUAAGAUCAUGCAGUUUCUGAAGUGGAUAUAAUGCCUCCAGUAUCCUUCGUCUGCCACAAAUGACGUCUACGUCUUCCAGAGGCUUUUCAGGAAAACACCACUAUACCAUCGUCAUUCAAAGUUCAAAGUAAAUUUUAUUAUCAAAGUACAUCUAUGUCACCAUAUACAACCCUGAGAUUCAUUUUCCUAUGGGCAUACUCAGCAAAUCUAUAGAAUAGUGGCUACAGCGGGAUCACUGAAAGAUCAACCAGAGUGCAGAAGACAACAAACUGUGCAAAUGCAAAUAUAAACAAAUAGCAAUAAAUAACAAGAACAUGAGAUAAAGAGUCCUUAAAGUGGGACCAUUGGUUGUGAAAAUCAUCUCAAUGAUUCGGCAGAUGAAGAGCAGAACAGAGAAAAAAAAUGGACGCUUUAACCCAAAGAAUGCAGAGUGUAUGUGAUGAUUCAUAUUACUGACAUGGAAGUCAAUUGCGAUUGAGAGGAUUAAUCAGAU